CGGACUUGGUCUCUGGCCAGCAGGAGCAGCAACAGAGAAGCACAGCAAACCCGUGCUGACUCCUUUGGCGGUUUUAAUGCCAGACAAUGAGAACUCGGUGCGAAUCAAACACAGUACAGAAGAGAGACGCACAAGGAGCCAGGUAACUGUAUGACACAAUGUGACUGCUGCUGAAACAGACAUCUAGGAAGCCCUGGGCCUCAGGAAGGAGACCUCGACUGCCGUGAAGAGCUGAGGAGGAGUCACACAGAACACAAUACCUGACACCACGAGAGGAGGAGAAGCUUAACUUGGCUCGCAAUUCACUCCUUGACAAGGCAGAGGCAUCACGGGGGGAAGGGCGCGGCUGAGCGAAGGCUCAGCUCCAGGCUGCCAGAAGCAGAAGCUCAGCUGGAAGCAGUGCAGUGCAGCAGUGCGGACAGGAGGGAGGGAGGAUCCAGGUGCAGCUCGGAAAUUCACAGCUUCAUGGCCGCCCAGAGUAAAACUCCCCAACCGACUCCCAUGCUAAUCAAGUCGACAGUUAUGCUUUCCUCAAGGAAAACA